UUUAAAGAAAACAGUGGCACUGUUUGAACACGGGAGAGUUAAAAAAAAAGCUGGAGAUAAAUCAGACAGACUGAGAGUUACGGAGGACUGUUUCCUGGUUUUAGAGAAAGUCACAGCUGAAGAUGAAGGUCGUUACAUCUGCAGACAGUUCAGUUCAGAAGAACAAUACACAGACUCUAACAUUCAACUGUCUGUUAACAUCAGAGCUUCAACGGCCACAAAGAUGACAACAAUCCCUCCACCACCAUCAACAACAUUCACCUCUGCUAGAAAUGAUGAUACAGGUCUUUGGUGGAGAAGGGUCUAUGUUCCCGUGGGUGUGGCAGCUCUCUCCAUCAUCGUCGUGUCAGUUCACAUCUGGACAAAAACUAACGGUGAAAACAUGAACACAUGAAACUUUCAUCAAGAAAAUGUUGGAUUCGGUGGAAACUAAAAAUGGCUCUUUUUUUUUGUAUUUUCAGGUAACAGGACUGAUCAUAACAAAACUGUGAUCAGUGAUGAAGAUGAUGGUGGUGAUGAUGUGGUGACCUAUGAAAAUACCGAAGCCCCCCCUGCUUCUGUUCAAUCCACAGAUCAAUAAAUCAGCUGGAAAAAAAGAUCUGACCUGAGCCGGAAGCUUAACUUGGUAC